CCGAGCUGUGUCUGGCUCCCGAUCUCACAGCCAUUGCAGUACAUUGAGCUCCAUAGAGACAGCACCGAGGCAAGUGAGAGCUGGAUGGGCACUGGGCGACUCUGUGCCUCGCUGAGGAAAAAUAACUAAACAUGGGCAAAGGAGAUCCUAAGAAACUGAGAGGCAAAAUGUCAUCAUAUCCAUUUUUUGUGCAAACUUGUCGGGACGAGCAUAAGAAGCACUACCCAGAUGCUUCAGUCAACUUCUCAGAGUUUUCUAAGAAGUGCUCAGAGAGGUGGAAGACCAUGUCUGCUGAAGGGAAAGGAAAACCUAUAUUCCUUCUAAAGGGGAGACAAAAAAGAAGUUCAAGGAUCCCAAUGCAACCAAGAGGCCUUCUUUGGCCUUUUUCCUGUUCUGCUCUGAGUAUUGUCAAAAAAUCAAAGGAGGAAAUCCUGGCCUGUCCAUUGGUAAUGUUGCGAAGAAACUGGGAGAGAUGUGGAAUAACAAUGCUGCAGAUGACAAGCAGCCUUAUGAAAAGAAGGCUGCGAAGCUGAAGGAAAAAUACAAAAAGGAUAUUGCUGCAUAUCGAGCUAAAGGAAAGCCUGACGCAGCAAAAAAUGGAGUUGUCAAGGCUGAAAAAAGCAAGAAAAAGAAGGAAGAGGAGGAAGAUAAGGAAGAUGAAGAGGAUGAAGAGGAAGAUGAUGCUGAUGAAUAAGUUGGUUCUGGCGAAGUUUAUUUUUCUUGUCUAUAAAGCAUUUAACCUCUCUGUACACAACUUACUCCUUUUAAAUAAAAAAACUGAAAUGUAAGGCUGUUUAAAAUUUGUUUUUAAACUGUGUCUUUUUUUUUGUAUAGUUAACAGACUACCAAAUGUGUCUUUAGAUAGCCCUAUCCUGGUGGUAUUUUCAAUAGCCACUAACCUUGCCUGGUACAGUAUGGGGGUUGUAAAUUGGCAUGGAAAUUUAAAGCAGGUUCUUGUUGGUGAACAGCACAAAUUAGUUACAUAUGGGGAUGGUAACUUUUUCAUCUUCAGUUGUCUCUGAUGCAGCCUAUAUGAAAUAAUUGUUCUAUUAACUGAAUACUACUCUGUAAUUGCAAAAAAAAAAAAAAAUUGCAGCUGUUUUGUUGACAUUCUGAAUGCCUUCUAAGUAAAUACAAGUUUUUCUAUUU